CGCAUCUAUUAUCAGCCAAUAUUGCUUGAUGUGCUGCUUCUAUUUGGAUUUUUUAGAUAUAUAGAUAGAUAGAUAAGACAGGAAAGCAGUGGAGCCAAAUAAGAUGAAGGUGGUGUUUGCAGGGACUAUGGACCCUGGUCAGAAGUCCUCCAUACAAAAACAAAUAGAAGCCCACAGCACACGGCAGAUGAGUACCUUCGGAAAGAAGGAAGGAAGGGAGGAGAGAGGAAGUCAACAACCCUAGUCUUUCCUGCAAAAAAUAAGGAAACAGUAGAUAGACAUCUAUUUCUUCUAUUAAAAAAAUUGGCUUAAGAGGAGAAAUGAGAAGGAAUUCCAGUGACAUUCCAGUCUUGACGGCUGGAGAAGAGUGCGGUGGAGCUGACUUUACACUUGUAUGGUGGGAAUUUUCUCACGGAAUGUCAUCUAUAUACAGAAUUAGAGCCUUGCCACAAUGACAGCGGCUGGAGGACCACAUAAAUAUACCCAUACAUAUUGCAUAAGUUAUUCUGAAAUAAUAAUUAUAUAACAUAUAUUACAAUUUAUUAUAUCAUAAUUUAUUCCAAUUAUAUGAGACUUUCAGAAAAAUAAAGGCAACGUAUUACAGUUUUAAGAUAUCCGGACACUCCACACACAACAGAGACAAAAGGAUAGGAUUGGGGCACUGCUUCUCCAUGGUUUUAUAAACUAGCAGUGAUUGUAACUACUGGUUCACCUGAAUAAGAGGAAACAGUUAAAACGCUUUUGUGAACAUCGACCAAAAGACAGACCCAUCGGCCUCCACGAUCCUUCAGUCAACAAGCUGUUUCGCAGUCAAAACCUGCUUCCUCUGGCCAGAUGGAAGGGGGGAGGGGUUGUGUUGCUCUCCAGCCAAUCAGGGACACUCAAACACGGCACACUGAAGCUGUCAGCUCUCUGAGCUGGGGAGAAGGGAGAGUGAAGUGUCAUCUAAGGUACACUAGUGAUCAGUGUGAUAAGAUCUCCUGGACUUCCUGCCUGGAGAGAAACAGGGUAUGUGCUCAGAAAAGAUUAAAGUGCAUUCACAUAACAAUUUUGCUAUACAGUUCCUGUAUACGGUUUUGUAUUAAAAAAUGUAGACAACCAUAUACAUUGACCUUCCAUACAAAAACAUACACAACAAGAUGUAUACAGUUUUGUUUUUUUACUUGUACAGUUUUGUGUUUUUUUCCCGCUGUGCACAAAACUGCAGUCGACCACAGUUUUGUGUCCAGUGUGUCCUUUAUAAAAAUCGUUUACAGUUUUUAUAAUAUUGUAGUCAAUAGAAACUGUAUUAAGCACAAUUGCAUACAGUUUUGUCAGUUUUUGAGGCAUAAGUUUUCCAAAACAAAAACUGAUUCAAAACAGUAUGGCAAAAUUGUGAUGUGAAUGUAGCCCUACACUUCACAUUGCAAAGUUUUAAACAACUUUAACAUGUGCAGCUAAAUAAAGGUAAUUUCAUUUGGCUGGAGUUCUCCUUUAAAGGAGAUAUCUGUCAAAAAUGAACUUAUGCCCUAUCCACAGGAUAAGACAUAAGUAGCUGAUCUCGAGAGGGGCCGAGCACUGGACCCAGGACGGGACCUGGCGCACAGUGUGAAGCGCAUGCUGCAGGCGCCUACAUUUCCUACAGAAGAGCUAAAAUGACCUGAGUACAGCACUUGGGAAUCAUCAGCACUCUCAUAGAAAUGAAUGAGGGACGUGCCAUCUAUCAGUAGACAACACACUCUGCGAGAGCCGGCGUCCCAGUGGUCAGACCCCCCUGUGAUCAGCUUCUUAUCCCCUAUCCUGUGGAUAGAGGAUAAAUUUAGUUUUGCCUCAGUUCUCCUUUAAGGAAACAGGCAGCUUCAUUUUUUCUUUUCGUUUUUUCUCCUCACCUUCUAAGAGCCAUAACUGUUUUAUUUUUCAAUCCACAGAGCCAUAUGAAAGCUUGUUUUUUGUGCAACCACUUACUUAUACUUUGUAAUUACACCUUUCUUUUGCCCUAAAAUGUACCUAAAAAUGUAAUGUAACUAAAAAAAUAAAAUAA